AUUGAACGCUGGCGGCAGGCCUAACACAUGCAAGUCGAACGAGUGGCGGACGGGUGAGUAAUGUCUGGGAAACUGCCUGAUGUAGGGGGAUAACUACUGGAAACGGUAGCUAAUACCGCAUACCAUCAGAUGUGCCCAGAUGGGAUUGGCUAGUUGGUGGGGUAACGGCUCACCAAGGCGACGAUCCCUAGCGGGUCUGAGAGGAUGACCAGCCACACUGGAACUGUGACACGGGCCAGACUCCUACGGGAGGCGGCAGUGGGGAAUAUUGCACAAUGGGCACAGGCCUGAUGCAGGCAGGCCGCGUGUAGGAAGAAGGCCUUAGGGUUGUAAGGUACUUUCAGCGGGGAGGCGGUACCCGCAGAAGAAGCACCGGCUAACUCCGUGCCAGCAGCCGCGGUAAUAC
rnacentral:rRNA from 1 species